rnacentral:rRNA from 1 species
CAGUAGCCGCGGGAAUACAGAGGGUGCGAGCGUUAAUUGGAUUUACUGGGCGUAAAGCGUGCGUAGGCGGCUUUUUAAGUCGGAUGUGAAAUCCCUGAGCUUAACUUAGGAAUUGCAUUCGAUACUGGGAAGCUAGAGUAUGGGAGAGGAUGGUAGAAUUCCAGGUGUAGCGGUGAAAUGCGUAGAGAUCUGGAGGAAUACCGAUGGCGAAGGCAGCCAUCUGGCCUAAUACUGACGCUGAGGUACGAAAGCAUGGGGAGCAAACAGGAUUAGAUACCCCUGUAGUCCCUGUCUCUUAUAC